GAAAUGCGAUAAGUAGUGUGAAUUGCAGAAUUCAGUGAAUCAUCGAAUCUUUGAACGCACAUUGCGCCCUUUGGUAUUCCAAAGGGCAUGCCUGUUCGAGCGUCAUUUGUACCCUCAAGCUUUGCUUGGUGUUGGGCGUCUUGUCUCUAGCUUUGCUGGAGACUCGCCUUAAAGUAAUUGGCAGCCGGCCUACUGGUUUCGGAGCGCAGCACAAGUCGCACUCUCUAUCAGCAAAGGUCUAGCAUCCAUUAAGCCUUUUUUCAACUUUUGACCUAGGAUCAGGUAGGGAUACCCGCUGAACUUAAGC
rnacentral:misc_RNA from 1 species